rnacentral:rRNA from 1 species
GUGUCAGCAGCCGCGGUAAUACGUAGGUGGCAAGCGUUGUCCGGAUUUACUGGGCGUAAAGAGCGCGCAGGCGGCUGGUCAAGUCCGAUGUGAAAUCUCCCGGCUCAACUGGGAAACUGCAUCGGAAACUGAUCGGCUUGAAGGUGGGAGAGGGUAGUGGAAUUCCCGGUGUAGUGGUGAAAUGCGUAGAUAUCGGGAGGAACACCAGUGGCGAAGGCGACUACCUGGCCCAUUCUUGACGCUGAGGCGCGAAAGCUAGGGGAGCGAACGGGAUUAGAAACCCGCGUAGUCC